GGGGGGGUAGCUCAGCUGGGAGAGCGCAUCGUUCGCAUCGAUGAGGUCGUGGGUUCGAUCCCCAUCCUCUCCA
rfam:Arenimonas oryziterrae DSM 21050 = YC6267 contig1, whole genome shotgun sequence.